UACGUAGGUGACAAGCGUUGUCCGGAUUUACUGGGCGUAAAGAGCGCGCAGGCGGUCGUUCAAGUCGAGUGUGAAAGCCCCCGGCUCAACUGGGGAGGGUCACUCGAUACUGAUCGACUCGAAGGCAGGAGAGGGAAGUGGAAUUCCCGGUGUAGUGGUGAAAUGCGUAGAUAUCGGGAGGAACACCAGUGGCGAAGGCGACUUCCUGGCCUGUUCUUGACGCUGAGGCGCGAAAGCUAGGGGAGCAAACCGG
rnacentral:rRNA from 1 species